rnacentral:rRNA from 1 species
UACGUAGGGGGGCAAGCGUUGUCCGGAAUCAUUGGGCGUAAAGAGCGUGUAGGCGGCUCGGUAAGUCUGCUGUGAAAGUCCAGGGCUCAACCCUGGGAUGCCGGUGGAUACUGUCGGGCUCGAGUCCGGAAGAGGCGAGUGGAAUUCCUGGUGUAGCGGUGAAAUGCGCAGAUAUCAGGAGGAACACCAAUGGCGAAGGCAGCUCGCUGGGACGUGACUGACGCUGAGACGCGAAAGCGUGGGGAGCGAACAGG